rnacentral:tRNA from 1 species
GCGUGGGUGGUAGAGUGGUCAAUUACACUUGGCUGUAAACCAAGCGCCCGGAAGGGCUACGCAGGUUCGAAUCCUGCUCUGCGCA